rnacentral:rRNA from 1 species
UACAGAGGGGGCAAGCGUUAUUCGGAAUUAUUGGGCGUAAAGGGCGCGUAGGCGGUGCUGUAAGUCUGUGGUGAAAUCUCUGGGCUCAACUCAGAGUCUGCCAUAGAAACUGCAGUGCUGGAGUGUGGGAGAGGUGAGUGGAAUUCCCGGUGUAGCGGUGAAAUGCGUAGAUAUUGGUAGGAACACCAGUGGCGAAGGCGGUCUCCUGGGGCAUUCUUGACGCUGAGGCGCGAAAGCUGGGGGAGCGAACGGG